rnacentral:rRNA from 1 species
UGGGGAAUAUUGCACAAUGGGCGCAAGCCUGAUGCAGCGACGCCGCGUGGGGGAUGACGGCCUUCGGGUUGUAAACUCCUUUCGCCAGGGACGAAGCGUUUUGUGACGGUACCUGGAGAAGAAGCACCGGCUAACUACGUGCCAGCAGCCGCGGUAAUACGUAGGGUGCAAGCGUUGUCCGGAAUUACUGGGCGUAAAGAGCUCGUAGGCGGUUUGUCACGUCGUCUGUGAAAUUCCACAGCUUAACUGUGGGCGUGCAGGCGAUACGGGCUGACUUGAGUACUGUAGGGGUAACUGGAAUUCCUGGUGUAGCGGUGAAAUGCGCAGAUAUCAGGAGGAACACCGAUGGCGAAGGCAGGUUACUGGGCAGUUACUGACGCUGAGGAGCGAAAGCAUGGGUAGCAAACAGGAUUAGAUACCCUGGUAGUCCAUGCCGUAAACGGUGGGCGCUAGGUGUAGGGGCCUUUUGGGGUUUCUGUGCCGUAGCUAACGCAUUAAGCGCCCCGCCUGGGGAGUACGGCCGCAAGGCUA